GACGAACGCUGGCGGCGUGCCUAAUACAUGCCAGUUGAGCGAUGAAGAUUGGUGCUUGCACCAAUUUGAAGAGCAGCGAACGGGUGAGUAACGCGUGGGGAAUCUGCCUUUGAGCGGGGGACAACAUUUGGAAACGAAUGCUAAUACCGCAUAACAACUUUAAACAUAAGUUUUAAGUUUGAAAGAUGCAAUUGCAUCACUCAAAGAUGAUCCCGCGUUGUAUUAGCUAGUUGGUGAGGUAAAGGCUCACCAAGGCGAUGAUACAUAGCCGACCUGAGAGGGUGAUCGGCCACAUUGGGACUGAGACACGGCCCAAACUCCUACGGGAGGCAGCAGUAGGGAAUCUUCGGCAAUGGACGAAAGUCUGACCGAGCAACGCCGCGUGAGUGAAGAAGGUUUUCGGAUCGUAAAACUCUGUUGGUAGAGAAGAACGUUGGUGAGAGUGGAAAGCUCAUCAAGUGACGGUAACUACACAGAAAGGGACGGCUAACUACGUG
rnacentral:rRNA from 1 species